rnacentral:rRNA from 1 species
AUUGAACGCUGGCGGCAGGCCUAACACAUGCAAGUCGAGCGAGUGGCGGACGGGUGAGUAAUGUCUGGGAAACUGCCUGAUGGAGGGGGAUAACUACUGGAAACGGUAGCUAAUACCGCAUACCAUCAGAUGUGCCCCGAUGUGAUUAUCGAGUAGGUGGGGUAACUGCUAACCUAGGCGACGCUCCCUAGCUGGUCUGAGAGGGUGACCAGCCACACUGGAACUGAGACACGGACCAGACUCCUACGGGAGGCAGCAGGGGGGAAUAUUGCACAAUGUGCGCAAGCCUGAUGCAGCCAUGCCGCGUGUAUGAAGAAGGCCUUCGGGGUGUAAAGUACUUUCAGCGGGGAGGCGUUACCCGAAGAAGAAGCACCGGCUAACUCCGUGCCAGCCGCCGCGGUAAUAC